rnacentral:rRNA from 1 species
GACGAACGCUGGCGGCGUGCUUAACACAUGCAAGUCGAACGGAAAGGCCCAGCUUGCUGGGUGCUCGAGUGGCGAACGGGUGAGUAACACGUGGGUGAUCUGCCCCUAACUUCGGGAUAAGCUUGGGAAACUGGGUCUAAUACCGGAUAGGACAAUCGUUUAGUGUCGGUUGUGGAAAGUUUUAUCGGUUAGGGAUGAGCCCGCGGCCUAUCAGCUUGUUGGUGGGGUAAUGGCCUACCAAGGCGUCGACGGGUAGCCGGCCUGAGAGGGUGGACGGCCACAUUGGGACUGAGAUACGGCCCAGACUCCUACGGGAGGCAGCAGUGGGGAAUAUUGCACAAUGGGCGCAAGCCUGAUGCAGCGACGCCGCGUGGGGGAUGACGGCCUUCGGGUUGUAAACCUCUUUCGACAGGGACGAAGCUUUGGUGACGGUACCUGUAUAAGAAGCACCGGCUAACUACGUG